CAAUAUUUUACAAAGUAACUUGCCUUCUUACCCGUACUGUGUUUUGUCUCUUUCUAACUAUUCGAAUUUUGGUACAAGUUCCGUAUAUGGUUUAAACAGAGAGGACUACAAUAUAAUAUAAGACGCUAAGGCGUUGGUCGUUUCUGUUUCAAGUUGCUUGUUACACUGUACCAUGCGGUUUCCAAGUUAAGAUGAUUACGACAAGUAGUUUUCUUCUUUAGUUUUCGAAUGCAAGGACUACUUAAAUUACGACUUGAUCUAUCGUACUAACUUCUCGAAUUACUACGGAUAUUCCUUUGUGAACGUUUUACCUUUGGUUUUUUUCACUUUAAUAUGAUGUUGUAGGAAGUUCUACUAAUAGGCCCGUGGUAAUGCUUUUAAGCACUCUGUGAUGACGUAGGUCUCUUUUUCUUCUAAAAUCCUACAGCAGACGACGGAGAAGUUGAACUCGUAGUCCCUCAAGGUGUAUGUACCAAUGUAGAGAUGAACGUCCCGCUCUUUCUACUACGACAUUACGAAGUACAUUUCUUCGUAUUACCAAUAUAAUAUCCAAAACUAUUGUUCCUUUCUGUUAGCAAACUCGAAUGCUACCCUUAAGUCCUACUACUUAACCGGGGAGGGUUUUAGGGGUCUCGAUUUAUGCACCCGAAACCAAUACUAAUAUAGUCGGACGACUUUUUCCUCUACCCUAGCCUUUGAUGACUGUAAGACUUCAAACAAACAGUUAAACAUGACCUACACUGUUUGAAAGACUUAAGGUAUGUACACGAAAGAAUAAAACCAACACUGGAAUUAGUAGCGGUCCGCACAGGUAACACAUCAUCAGGUUCUCGGCGGGUUGCCCGUUAACAGACGUAUAGAAAGUACGACAAACUCGGUAGUUCCUAAUUUCUCUAACUCUUGCGGUAUAUGUUACCACCCAAAAAUCCGGUUCGAGAGUGACUCCAUGAAUACGUCCGGUAUACCGUAACCUUCCUCUACAGCCUGCACAACGACUCCAUACUGUCUGGGCUUGUUUUUUGACUCUAACUUAAAUAACUACGAUAGUUCUAAUUCCACUUAGACGUGUGGCACGUUCGUUAUCGUUUUAAGGACAGAAAUUAAGAGUUGUCUUUCCGGUUGCUGUGGCUGUUUCAUCUUUUUUUUGUCCUACUGAGACUGCUCCUACCACUUGUAGGACUACUACUCCCACUUGUAGGACUACUACUCCCACUUGUAGGACUACUUAUAGGACGGCCUCUACCACUACUGUUGGUCAAAGGCGGGGGAAGCGGACGUCGUGGACCGCUACCACUACUGUUCCUCUUCGUCGACUUUCUUGGUGGGUACCUUCCCGCCGUUGUACCGGUUUGGGAAAAUGUGUAAAAACUACACGCAAAAUGCCCAGUAUUCUUUCUAGAGUCCCCGUAGCACCAAGUACUUCCCGCACCGUCGGUACAGUAGUUGAGUGACUUCAUGCAUCAUCCUAUAACCUCUAGGAGAUUACUGGACCCAGCAGUCUACGUUGAACGACGCGUAAUACAGGUAUUCGUUAGAGACUCGGAAAGACCUGGUAGUCAACGGUAGAGUGGCCUUCUACCUACAAGGGAGCUCAAGAAGGGGUUUGCCACCUUGUUUAGACAGCGACCACUACUAGAACGAAAUUUUUUCUUCCUAUGACAACAGUACGCUAACCUACUACCCGCUAGCAUAAUAUUAGUUGUCUCCGAGUUUCUCUAAUCAGAACCAUCGUUGAGAAACGACCACAGGAUACGUUAGAAAUGACCUCGACAACUCCGCUGGUACCUUUAGUCAGACGCUGACGGGGCACUCUAUAACACGCGGGUACAUGAGUUGGAUUUGUAUACACCGAAGUAACUUCAUGUUAACUGUAGAGUCCUAUGAUGCUAUGACGUUCAAGUACGGGUAGGUUUCGUGCCGUAUCAUAGGUCUCUGGGUUAUCUACCUUUCGGACAGGAAAACAGUUUCGUGAGCCGGGACAGAGGUCCGUGACCUCCCAUACAGAGUUACGGGUUCGUAGGUCCAGACGAACUGGACCAGGUAAGCUGGUGGUAUUCGCAAGGUAACCAUGCUGGUCAAUACCAACACUUCGAACUAAGACUUUAGUUCAAAUCACCCUGAGACCGGUAGGUUCUACAACCAACAUACCUGUAGCUACCGUUAGAGACGUAAGGUUCUCUCCAACUGCAGUCGUCCUUGCAGUUCUGGUCUACCUUUAGGCCGGACAAACCCUAACUAAUGGUUCAUUUUUACUUAGAUCACUUGUCUAAGGAACAAACUUCUGUAGUGACUCUUAUCUAGUCUGUUAAGUUUCGAUACAGAGGUACCAGACAUGGAUGUACCUUCCCCUCUACGACGAUUUGCUUGACGGAAAAGGAGAUGGCUGAGGGAGGUAAAAGUUAGAACUAGUCUAGUUCCGUGAGUGGAAUCUGUUGGAUCACAGACUCUUACGAGAGUCAAAACGCCUGGACCUUUAGUUCGGAGAGUUCAACUUCCCGAUGGGAUGGCUCAAGGAACAGACGAUGUCCCUCCGGUAGAAAACCGAGAUGGUAGUCGCUCUUCUACCCAUCGCGUCUACACCGGGGGACUAAGACUUCUGCGGCAUCUUAGCUACUAGUAAAUCAACUUUCUAUUUUAACAACAACACAAAACAAAGGGACAGUAGACGGCUUACGGAGCGGGGGAACGUCCUGGUCUAAACUACGUUUGCAAUCGGGGACGGGAACAAAAAUUCAUAGUUUUUAUUCCUUUCCGUACUACAAUGACACUUAAAAACUCGACCUUUACGUUCAUUUCGCUUAGUAAAGCUGCCACUGGCUGUGUAAGUACCUCUAAAGUCUCAUAUUUAGAGUAACUAGUACAGGG
rnacentral:rRNA from 1 species